rnacentral:rRNA from 1 species
GACGAACGCUGGCGGCGUGCUUAACACAUGCAAGUCGAGCGGUAAGGCCCUUUCGGGGGUACACGAGCGGCGAACGGGUGAGUAACACGUGGGUGACCUGCCUUUAGCUCUGGGAUAAGCCUGGGAAACCGGGUCUAAUACCGGAUAUGACUCCGCGGCGCAUGUUGUGGGGUGGAAAGCCUUGUGCGGCUGGAGAUGGGCCCGCGGCCUAUCAGCUUGUUGGUGGGGUGAUGGCCUACCAAGGCGACGACGGGUAGCCGGCCUGAGAGGGCGACCGGCCACACUGGGACUGAGACACGGCCCAGACUCCUACGGGAGGCAGCAGUGGGGAAUCUUGCGCAAUGGGCGAAAGCCUGACGGAGUGACGCCGCGUGGGGGACGAAGGCCUU